rnacentral:lncRNA from 1 species
AGGCCUGCAGGGCAGUGGAGAAUGCACCACCAUGAAGCAGAAUGGUCCGACUGAUCUAUAUAUUUUCUUGUUGCUAAAAGAGAUGGACGAAGAACGGGCCUUCAGGGAAACCUCUCUCUCAGUCAACAACUUCUGUUGAACACAUCUAGAAUAUAGGAAGAUUUCUGCUGCAUCAGAACAAAGGAUGGAUAGGUCCAUCAUCCUGUAUCACAUAGUGGCAAGCCUGAUAACAAUGGGAGGCCACAAACAAUGUGAAAGCAAUAGUGUUCCACAUCAGCAACAGAAUCUGAAGAUGAUGCAAAAACUACAACGAUGGAUAGAGACAUAGAAGCAGGCAGACCUGCUGUGAAAGCCUUCGCGAAUACAAUAAAGCAAGCUGAUGGCUUGGUAGAAGUACUGUA